rnacentral:rRNA from 1 species
UCUGGUUGAUCCUGCCUGAACUGAUGUGUUUAUUUCAAAGAUUAAGCCAUGCAUGUAUAAGUUUAAUCGUUUAUCGAGAAACCGCGAACGGCUCAUUACAAUGGCCAUUAUUUACUUGAUCUUGAUUGUCUAAAUGGAUAACUGUGGAAAAGCUAGAGCUAAUACAUGCACUAAAGCUUUGUCCUUACGGAAAAGCGCAUUUAUUAGAACAAAACCACGCGGCUUCGGCUGCUUCUUGUUGACUCAGAAUAACUUAGCUGACCGCAUGGCCUUGUGCCGGCGGCGUGUCUUUCAAGCGUCCACUUUAUCAACUUGACGGGAGCAUAAUCGACUCCCGUGGUGGUGACGGAUAACGGAGGAUCAGGGUUCGACUCCGGAGAAGGGGCCUGAGAAAUGGCCACUACGUCUAAGGAUGGCAGCAGGCGCGCAAAUUACCCACUCUCGGCUCCAGGAGGUAGUGACGAGAAAUAACGAGACUGUUCUCUUUGAGGCCGGUCAUCGGAAUGGGUACAAUUUAAACCCUUUAACGAGUAUCAAGCAGAGGGCAAGUCUGGUGCCAGCAGCCGCGGUAAUUCCAGCUCUGCAAAUACAUAGAAUUAUUGCUGCGGUUAGAAAGCUCAUAGUUGGAUUCGUAUCGAUACCUUGGAACCCUUCGGGUGUCUCUAGGUGUUAUCGAUUUAUCGUAAUGUUCGGUUUUGAGUCCUUAACAGGAUUCUUAACAGGCAUUGCAAGUUUACUUUGAACAAAUCAGAGUGCUUCAAACAGGCGUUUUCGCUUGAAUGAUCGUGCAUGGAAUAAUAGAAAAUGAUUUCGGUUCAGUUUUAUUGGUUUUACGGACUGAGAUAAUGGUUAACAGAGACAAACGGGGGCAUUUGUAUGGUCCCGUGAGAGGUGAAAUUCUUGGACCGUGGCCAGACAAACUACAGCGAAAGCAUUUGCCAAGAAUGUUUUUAUUAAUCAAGAACGAAAGUCAGAGGUUCGAAGGCGAUCAGAUACCGCCCUAGUUCUGACCGUAAACGAUGCCAACUAGCGAUCCGCCGAUGGAAAUUAUAUUGCCUUGGUGGGGAGCUUCCCGGAAACGAAAGUCUUCCGGUUCCGGGGGAAGUAUGGUUGCAAAGCUGUCGCUGGUGUCUAAGUGUUGCUGAUACGGUUAUGAACGUCCGUGGCUGUAUAUGUGGUGACAUGUUAGGACUCUAAUGAGUUUAAGACCUAUUGAGCCUCUUAAGUGAGGCCGCCAGCAACCUUUUUUUUCUCUACAUUUUAAAAAAAAAACUAAAAUUCUACCCUUAUCGGUGGAUCACUAGGCUCGUGGAUCGAUGAAGAACGCAGCAAACUGCGAUAAUUAUUGCGAACUGCAGAAGUAUUGAGCACAAAAGUUUUGAACGCAAAUGGCCGCAUUGAGGUCAAACUCUUUGCAACGUCUGGUUCAGGGUCAUUUUCUCUUAUAGCGGAAGCUUUAAUUUCUAUAAUGAUGUUGUUGCUU